AGUGAACGCUGGCGGUAGGCCUAACACAUGCAAGUCGAACGGCAGCACAGUAAGAGCUUGCUCUUACGGGUGGCGAGUGGCGGACGGGUGAGGAAUACAUCGGAAUCUACUUUUUCGUGGGGGAUAACGUAGGGAAACUUACGCUAAUACCGCAUACGACCUACGGGUGAAAGCAGGGGAUCUUCGGACCUUGCGCGAUUGAAUGAGCCGAUGUCGGAUUAGCUAGUUGGCGGGGUAAAGGCCCACCAAGGCGACGAUCCGUAGCUGGUCUGAGAGGAUGAUAAGCCACACUGGAACUGAGACACGGUCCAGACGCCUACGGGAGGCAGCAGUGGGGAAUAUUAGACAAUGGGCGCAAGCCUGAUCCAGACAGACCGCGUGGGUGAAGAAGGCAUUCGGGUUGGAAAGCCCUUUUGUUGGGAAAGAAAAGCAGCAGGUUAAUACCCAGCGGUUCUGACGGUACCGAAAGAAUAAGCACCGGCUAACUUCGUG
rnacentral:rRNA from 1 species